UACGAAGGGGGCUAGCGUUGCUCGGAAUCACUGGGCGUAAAGCGCACGUAGGCGGCUUCUUAAGUCAGGGGUGAAAUCCUGGAGCUCAACUCCAGAACUGCCUUUGAUACUGAGAAGCUUGAGUCCGGGAGAGGUGAGUGGAACUGCGAGUGUAGAGGUGAAAUUCGUAGAUAUUCGCAAGAACACCAGUGGCGAAGGCGGCUCACUGGCCCGGUACUGACGCUGAGGCGCGAAAGCUAGGGGAGCGAACAGG
rnacentral:rRNA from 1 species